ACAAAUCUCACUAACUCAAAAUUUGUAACUGCAUCGUUACUAAAGCUUUUAGUCACCAAUAAAGGUGACCAAUGCUUUCAAAAGUCACGAAAAAAAAGGUGACUAUAGCUCAAUUUUUUUGUAGUGUAAUGAAUACAUAAAUUUCUCUCAUAAUUGUGGCAUGAAAAACAUAUUAACUCUAAACUAUUAACUAUGGUUAUUUUAAUUUACAUAGGGUUAAUUUCAGUUUGGUAUCCCGUAUAGUACAACUACGAAGUACCUUGAGAAUAAAACUAUAGGGAACCAAACUGAAAUUAACCCAUUUACAUAUGCCAAACUUUGAAAGGGGUCGUGAGGCUUAAGGGUAGUCAGAAAAAUGCACUAAAAAACGGACUUGGCAUAAUAUUUAAUCUCAACACUACCUCUCAC
rnacentral:lncRNA from 1 species